AGCAGUGUGGGAUCGCCUGGCGCAGGUCCAGCUCCGAGGCUCUUCCUCUUUCCAACGUCACUCUGGUGUGACCAGACACGUGGAGGGACCAAACAGCAAGUGGAUCAUGGCCUUUUUCUUCUUUUAUAACAAGUAGUUCAAUUCUUAUUGUUUUAAAUGUAGGAAGAAGUGACUUUUUAUCUCGGAGAAAAAAAAUGUAUAAUAUUCCUACAUCUAAGCUUACUAAAUGGAAAGGAAAAAUCUCCUGCAGUUUUCAGAAAACGAGUCAAAGAAGGAUGUUCCAAGUGAUGCAGUGAGACAACAAGCACAACAAGCUUUAAGGAGUACAAGCUCAGGACAGAGAAAAGGUUUCUUCGUGGCACUGUCAUUUCUGCCGUCCUCAUACCAAGGAGUUGACUGCACUACUUUAUGGCUUCCCUACCCUUCCAUCAACCUUGGGAUGUUUAUUUUUCUUCAAACAUAGCUGUUUGCAGCAUGCUAACAAGAACUGAAGAUCUUUUAACACUGCUAUUUGUUUACUGAAGACAUCAAAGCCUUUUUUUCCACGAGCCCCCUUUGAGCCGGUACAAUCUGCAAGCAGCCGUGCAACACCGAGGUGUGUUUUGUACCGCCAAAAUAAAACCACAGUACACUGUGAAGAUACA
rnacentral:lncRNA from 1 species